rnacentral:rRNA from 1 species
AGUGAACGCUGGCGGUAGGCCUAACACGUGCAAGUCGAACGGCAGCACAGUAAGAGCUUGCUCUUACGGGUGGCGAGUGGCGGACGGGUGAGGAAUACAUCGGAAUCUACUUUUUCGUGGGGGAUAACGUAGGGAAACUUACGCUAAUACCGCAUACGACCUACGGGUGAAAGCAGGGGAUCUUCGGACCUUGCGCGAUUGAAUGAGCCGAUGUCGGAUUAGCUAGUUGGCGGGGUAAAGGCCCACCAAGGCGACGAUCCGUAGCUGGUCUGAGAGGAUGAUCAGCCACACUGGAACUGAGACACGGUCCAGACUCCUACGGGAGGCAGCAGUGGGGAAUAUUGGACAAUGGGCGCAUGCCUGAUCCAGCCAUACCGCGUGGGUGAAGAAGGCCUUCGGGUUGUAAAGCCCUUUUGUUGGGAAAGAAAAGCAGCAGGUUAAUACCCCGCUGUUCUGACGGUACCCAAAGAAUAAGCACCGGCUAACUUCGUG